GUCAGGAUGGCCGAGCGGUCUGCGAGCGCCAUGCGUUCAGGUCGCAGUCUCCCUGGAGGCGUGGGUUCAAAUCCCAUUUCUGACA